rnacentral:rRNA from 1 species
UUGGAGGGCAAGUCUGGUGCCAGCAGCCGCGGUAAUUCCAGCUCCAAUAGCGUAUAUUAAAGUUGUUGCAGUUAAAAAGCUCGUAGUUGAAUUUCGGGACCAAUUUGUUGGUCGUGCCUCGGUACGUACUGGCAUUAUUGGUUUCUCCCUUCUGAAGAACCAUGAUGCCGUAAAUUUGGUGUCGUGGGGAAUCAGGACUGUUACUUUGAAAAAAUUAGAGUGUUUAAAGCAGGCAUACGCUUGAAUACAUUAGCAUGGAAUAAUGAAAUAGGACGUUUGAUUCUAUUUUGUUGGUUUCUAGGAUCGACGUAAUGAUUAAUAGGGAUAGUUGGGGGCAUUAGUAUUCAAUUGUCAGAGGUGAAAUUCUUGGAUUUAUUGAAGACUAACUACUGCGAAAGCAUUUGCCAAGGAUGUUUUCAUUAAUCAAGAACGAAAGUUAGGGGAUCGAAGACGAUCAGAUACCGUCGUAGUCUUAACCAUAAACUAUGCCGACUAGGGAUCGGAUGAUGUUAAUUUUUUAAUGACUCAUUCGGCGCCUUACGGGAAACCAAAGUGUUUGGGUUC